UCCUUCCUGUAGUGUCUUUUAGCUGCUUAUUAAAGAUUUUGUUCGUUAUUUAGGUAUUUCAUGAGGUAAUUGAUUUAUUUUUAGGUUUUGUUUACGUCUGAGUCUGGAAACAGCUGGAAAUUUAAGCGAAUAUUGAAGAGUUGUCAACAUGUAAACAAGCUGUCAGCUGAGGUACGGGCAGGGCGUCGGUGUUUUUAGUCAUUAUUUGCUUCGCCUCUCACUUAUUGUAAGCCUAACAUGUCACAAGAUAGGGUCACUUGUCUAGCUUUCAUAUUCGCUGGUCAUAUGUAUCCGCCAUUGCCUGGUUUUGGUGUCACAAAGCAAUAAAUAAGGCAACAUGGCCGCCGGCUCCUCCACUGAGGUCGGGGCCGAGGACCUGUUCCGGCCUGUUGGUUCCAAUAUUUUUUAUAUUUUCCUUAAUUACUUUAUUUGGCUUCUAUAGUAAAUUUUUAUGGUUUGUAAAAUUAUUUCGUUGGUGUUGAAGUGUUUUUCUUGCUUCAGUGAAGUAAAUGGGCUGAAUUUUCUGCAGUUUUUCAACGUAAAUAUAGGGCCGUUUUCACGGUUACUUUUACCCACCCCGGUUCAUGGCUUUUUUAUUUGAGGCUGUAGUGAAGGUAUUAUUGUUUUAAAAAAUCGUUUAUGAUUUUUAAAAUGUUUUGCGUUCCUGUUGAGUUGAGUAUGUACAUUUUGAAAUAGUUUUUAGUCCCGUUAAAGGUGUUGAUUUGGCCAUUUUUUACAUUCUUUAUUUCUCUAUUUCAGCUUGUAACUAACUUUGCAUUGUUUGAAAAAAUAGUUCAGAUUUUUUAAAAUGUUUUUUUAAUGGUGCAACGUGAAAUGGGCGGACUUUUGAAUGGUUUUAAUGGUGUCAAAGGUUCCAACACUUUUUCCAUAUUUCUUUUGAUAUUUCUUUACAACUACUCAGGCUGGAGAUGUUUUGGUAUUGUGAAUAUUAAUUUGAGUAAUUAUCAAUUCAGAAAAUAUAAUGCAUUCCAGCCUAGCUUCAUUUUUUCUAGGGGUCAAUUUUAAAAUGAAAUACGUUACGUACGUAAGCCAGCGGCCGAGCCUGUGACGUCAUCAACUGGGGGGACUUGUCCAGCUCCAGUGUCUCUUGGUCAAUAUUUACCGGUGCAGAGCUUGGGAUACCACACGGAGGGGGCUGAAGGAGCCUUGGAGAUGCCUGAAGGAGGGGCAGUGUAGGAGGGAGACCUGGAGGUGAAGGAAAUGCAGAAAAUUCCUCUAAUACUGAACGCUUCUCUGCUCAGACCAUCCUUCAUUGAAUAUUUGAGCUGAGGCUUCGAGAUAUGAGGGGGCAAAGCUUGGGAUACCACACAGAGAGGGGCGAAGGAGCCUUGUGGAUGCCUGAAGGAGGGGCAGUGAAGGAGUGAGGCCUGGAGGUGAAGGAAAUGCAGAAAAUUCCUUCAAUACUGAGCGCUUCUCUGGUGAGACCAUCCUUCACUGAAUAUUUGAACCGAGGCUUCGAGAUACGUGGUGAGAAUUCGUUUUUUAGUGUUUGAAGGCAGUUUUAAGUGUUUGUAGGUGUUUUUAGGCUGUUUUAAUGUUUUAUUUUUUAGUAUUUUAGGUUUGUGGAAGGAAGGUGAAAGCUUAAUUUAUAUAUUAUAUAAUAUUUUAUAAUAAUAUAUGAUGUGUACACAGUUUCAACCAUAGGAUUUUGUAAUGUCAUUAUUAUCCUUAGAACAAUGUACUAUGCCCACAUAUACCCACACCUACAAUAUUGUAAUCCAAUAUGGGCUAACACUCAACCUACACACCUAAAUUGCAUAAACCUCAUUCAUAAAAAAAUAAUACGGAUUAUCACAAAAAGUUCAUAUCUUGAACACACAGCUCCACUCUUUAAAGGCAUGAACAUUCUAAAACUCGAAGACAUAACAAAACUUUCCAUUGCAACAUCUAUGUACAAAAAACAAAUUAAUGUCUCUCUUCCACCACAUGAAUACACAACACGACAAAGACAACGCCUUUGUCUACCUACCCAUCGCCUUAGUAUCUUCUGCCGCUCGACUUCCUACCUAGGCCCCUCAAUAUGGAAUUCUCUACCCUCGCAAUACAAAAAUGUCCACUCUAUUCACAAUUUCAAAAGCAAACUAAAGAGUCAUUUUCUGGAUGCAUACUAAUCAGUCACUUCCUACACUCAUACCUUAUAUUACUUCCCCCCUGAUCUUACAAAACUAACCCUACAAAACUUUAUCAUCUUUCCUGUACUUUAUUUUUAAACACAUCUAUAUGAUUUCAGUCUCAUAUAUGUAUCAAUUUAUAUCACCUAACCCUAUGUGUCAUCCCAUCCAUCUUCAUACUCAACUUUAUAACAAUAUAGAUAUAUUUAUUCUGUAUAAACCUUAUCAUAUUAUGUUUUUAUUUAUCUUCAUGAUAGAUUUUUCGAUUUUAAGUUGUCUAUUGUGUUUACUUUAAGUAAUGUACUUUUAAAUUUUUCAUUUGCCUGAAAAGCAUCAAGCUUAUACAUAGGCUGGCCAAUAAUGUAUACCUAUCCAAUAAUGAAAUGUAUAAACCUAGGCUAUAAUAAAGUGUUUAAAGUGUUUAAA